rnacentral:rRNA from 1 species
CCCGCACAAGCGGAGGAGCAUGUGGUUUAAUUCGAUGAUACGCGAGGAACCUUACCUGGGCUCGAACGUAGGAUGACUGUAGGUGAAAGCUUACAUCUCUUCGGAGCAUUUUACGAGGUGCUGCAUGGUUGUCGUCAGCUCGUGCCGUGAGGUGUCGGGUUAAGUCCCAUAACGAGCGCAACCCCUACCUUUAGUUGCCAUCAGGUAAUGCUGGGGACUCUAAAGGAACUGCCUACGCAAGUAGUGAGGAAGGCGGGGAUGACGUCAAAUCAGCACGGCCCUUACGUCCAGGGCUACACACGUGCUACAAUGGCCGAUACAGAGGGCAGCUACCUGGUGACAGGAUGCAAAUCUCCAAAGUCGGUCUCAGUUCGGAUCGGAGUCUGCAACCCGACUCCGUGAAGUUGGAUUCGCUAGUAAUCGCGCAUCAGCCAUGGCGCGGUGAAUACGUUCCCGGGCCUU